rnacentral:rRNA from 1 species
GAGUUUGAUCCUGGCUCAGGAUGAACGCUAGCGGCAGGCCUAACACAUGCCAAGUUCGAGGGGUAACAAUGUCUUCGGACAGUUGACGACCGGCGCACGGGUGAGUAUCGCGUUUGUAACCUACCUUUAACUGGAGAAUAGCCCGAAGAAAUUCGGAUUAAUACUCCAUAAUACUAUGAACUGGCAUCUUUUUAUAGUUAAAGCUCCGGCGGUUAAAGAUGGACAUGCGUAACAUUAGAUUGUUGGUGAGGUAACGGCUCACCAAGUCUAUGAUGUUUAGGGGGUCUGAGAGGAUGGUCCCCCACACUGGUACUGAGACACGGACCAGACUCCUACGGGAGGCAGCAGUGAGGAAUAUUGGUCAAUGGGCGCAAGCCUGAACCAGCCAUGCCGCGUGAAGGAUGACGGCGCUACGCGUUGUAAACUUCUUUUGUACAGGAAGAAACGCUUCUACGUGUAGAAGUUUGACGGUACUGUAUGAAUAAGCACCGGCUAACUCCGUGCCAGCAGCCGCGGUAAUACGGAGGGUGCAAGCGUUAUCCGGAUUUAUUGGGUUUAAAGGGUACGUAGGCGGGAAAUUAAGUCAGUAGUGAAAUCCCACAGCUUAACUGUGGAACUGUUAUUGAUACUGGUUUCCUUGAAUAUAGUUGAGGUAGGCGGAAUGUGUAAUGUAGCGGUGAAAUGCUUAGAUAUUACACAGAACACCGAUUGCGAANGCAGCUUACUAAGCUAUGAUUGACGCUGA